CUCCAACAGGUUACUUUGGCACCUACUUAUAAAGAAAAGCAAUAAGACCAAGGAUCAUGCAAAGAAUGAUCCCACCUAACAUUAGCCAACACUACUAAUCAGACUGAUUAUAGUAUCUCUCUCAAUUUAUUGCAAGAAAUAGACAAAUUAAGUUCCACUGUACUAAAAUACUUCCUCAGCGCCUUCUUUUGGUGUCAAUGAAGUUCAUCUUGAAUUUCUUAGAACUCCUAUUAAAAUCUUUUUCUCUGUGAUUUCUCUCAUUCAAAUAAACUGCCAAUACAACUACACUGCAUACAACAAAUUGCAACUGUGUUGGAACCAGGAUAUUAGAGACACAAGGGCGUCCCCCGGAAGCAGCAUGCAACCACUUUGCCCAACAGUUGUGGAAAAUGGAAAAAGGCUACUGUAUUCUGGGCUCCUGAGGCUAAAGAAGUGAGUCCAAGAUUUACAUAUGGCUUCUUUGGAUGAGAGAAGAAGGAGCUGAGAAAUCAAGAGAAGAAGCUGAGACACUGAAAAGAAGGAGAGUGCACAUUGCUUGUAUCCAAAAGACAAAAUGGAGAGGGUCGAAAGGAAGAGUGACCAGCUAAUAAAAGUUAGAAUAAAUAUUUAAUGUUAUAUGUGGAUAUGUGCCACAGGUUGGUUUUACGAUUGAGGACAAGGAGGAAUUCCAGCUCAAGCUGGACCAAAUAAGUGAAAUACCAUAAGCUGAGUACUUGAUUAUCAGAGCAGAUCUCAACAGACAUAGUGGAGAACAUAGUGAAGGGUAUAACAACUGUCAGAGGACAAGUCUUUGGAACCACAAACAAAGCUGGUGAGGAUACCUUAGGUUUAGCCAGAAUCCAUGGCCUGAUUGUCAAGAGAGAGGGAGACUUAAGUACAUACAAAAGCGGUGCCAACAAGUACCAGAUCAAUCACUUCCUGACCAGAGGAAGUGAUCAAGCUUUACAAGCUGGUAAAGAAAACAUCAAAAACAGUGGAUGCAGAAGUUAAAGGUCAGGCAUCGAAAGCCUUAUACACAGACUACUAACAAAGGAAGCGGUUUUAUGUGAAGCUACUCAAUGAAAAGAAUACAAAAAACCCGUUGAGGGAAAUAUGAGCAAGCAACAACCUCUCAAGACCUAUCACCAUGGUGGAGACUCAGACAUCGUGACACAAUGAAAUAUGGGAAGGCAGUGGGACUGGACAGUGUAUCCACUGAAGCACUUAAAA